rnacentral:misc_RNA from 1 species
UUAAGUUCAGCGGGUAGUCCUACCUGAUUUGAGGUCAGAUGUCAAGUAUGUUGUCCGAAGACGACUAUAAGCUCGUCCCCCCGCGGCUACACGACCAACAACAAAGUCAGGGUAACACGCGCCACUACAAGGACUUGCCGGCGUAGAUAAUUAUCACACCGGGGAUCCUCGUAGACAAGGUCCAAGCUAAUGCAUUCAAG